rnacentral:rRNA from 1 species
CGGUGGUCUUAGCGAGGGGGCCACACCCGUUCCCAUCCCGAACACGGAAGUUAAGCCCCUCAGCGCCGAUGGUACUGCACUGGAGACGGUGUGGGAGAGUAGGACGCCGCCG